rnacentral:lncRNA from 1 species
CAUAAAUAAACGGUGUAUCCUCUAUGAUGCUGCGAUUGCAGCCCACACAUGGAAGAAAGAACACCCCCGCAAUUAGAUUUUUCUCAAGUGACGUUGGUGCUUAUUUUGCUGUGGUUACGGUGUUGGUGCGAGCUGGUUUUGACGAGACCAUGCAGGAGGCUCUCCCUGGUUUGCUGUUCAGUGCUGGAUGACAUGCUCUCCUGUGAGUUUGAAUGUCCCCUCUCAUUGUAGCUCAAAACUGCAUUCAAUAGACAGAGGCUGUAUCUUAUCCAACUGCUAAUAUUAAUUUCUGAACCUGUGUUUUUUUUUUUAGGUGUGCUGGAUACUGGUGAAAAAGCAGCUGAAUGAUGGUGAAGUGGAAAAGGCUGCUAAUCAAACAGAAUUAUAAAACAUACAUAAUAAUCCAUAAUAUUCACUCUUGUAUGUAUCUCUUUUUGUUGGAAAAGGGUACAGAUGUUUGAUGCUUCCUUGUGUGGUGUGUCUAUCACCUGAUGCACUGCGCUGUUUCUUCUCCCACUCUGUCUCAUACACUCACCUACAGACUGAAUGUUAAAAUCACAGAAUAUGUUAUCAUUGACAUCUCUCUUUAAUAUAGGGCCUCUUGUAAAACAGCCAUCUAUAUCAUCUAUCUCAUCUGUGUUCUCCUCUACCUAUAUUCUACAUAGUAUCUGAUACCAUUGCCAUGCAAAGAGAGUGGGGCUUUGCUAAAAACCUGCAUACUGUUGACCUCCUUGUUUCGUAAUGUAAAUGGCUGGUGCUCUGUUCUAAAGAAACAUCUAUAUAUACCUUAGUACAUCUAUAAAUACAUUACCAUGUCUGGUUAAUGUGAGCUGCUCUUCCAAAUAUGUAUUUUGUCAUGUAGUUGUUUGUGAGGUAUUGGUGUGUAUGUGUGUGACUGACCACAUACAUCUGAAGUGAAUGAUGAUGGACCUGUGGGUGUGAGUUAUGACAUUAGGGUGUUUUUACAGGACAUUGUGAAAUUACAGUAGGGUGUGUUAAAACCGGUCUAUAGAAAAACAAGUGUGACCUUAUAAUAGAGAGUUGUGAUGUGACUGUAUCUGUGGUGUGAUAUAACAUCUAUCCC